UCUAUUAUGGCAGAUUAGUGUAAUGAAUUUAAGUUUCAUAAAUAAAAUUUAUUUUUUGAUAGAA
rnacentral:tRNA from 1 species